rnacentral:rRNA from 1 species
UACGGAGGGGGCUAGCGUUGUUCAGAAUUACUGGGCGUAAAGCGCACGUAGGCGGCUUUGUAAGUUAGAGGUGAAAGCCCGGGGCUCAACCCCGGAAUUGCCUUUAAGACUGCAUCGCUAGAAUUGUGGAGAGGUAAGUGGAAUUCCGAGUGUAGAGGUGAAAUUCGUAGAUAUUCGGAAGAACACCAGUGGCGAAGGCGACUUACUGGACACAUAUUGACGCUGAGGUGCGAAAGCGUGGGGAGCAAACAGG